CGCGCUCUGCUGGUGUCUCUGGCUCCGCGCCUUGGCCGCUUCAGAGGGGUGGUCGGGUCUGGGGAACGAAAAUCGAGCCUUGCAGCACGGUUGCCGGAAAAUCUUACAAAAAGACCGUCCUAAGUCAGUGCGGGCGUUGUAAAGCGGGCCGAGCCAAGCGGGGAGCCCGGCUGGCCCAUGGCGGGACACUUGGGGCUCCUAUACUGAGUCUUCGCGAUGGGCAGGACUUGCUUUGCUCUCUGCUAACCACACAGUUGGGAUCCGUCCGACCCGUCCCAGCGUCUUUGCUCCUGCUGUCUCGGAACAGCUCUGAACAUCCCGCCCCUGGGGACAGUGACAAUUGCUUGACUCCAAACCUGGAGGAUAAGAAGGAAGGCUGUUUAAUGAUAGUUGAACCUGGGGUGAGAAGAGCUGCUUCCAAACAUAGCAUUGAGAAGUCCCCUGUGGGGUGUUCCUUUGCUCCGAACACCUCUGAAUCCGCGGAGACCAGUCUAUUCUUGAUGCCUCUGAAAAUCUAUCAGGCUUGUCUUCCCUUUGAGGGGGACAGUCUGAUCUCCAAAACUGGCUUUCAAGCUCUUCUCUUUUUUUGUCUUUGCGACCUACCCCAGCUUCUUGAUUCCUUCUCUUUUUCCUUUUUAAGAAACUUACAAGCUGGGCGCCUUCUGGUACAUGGUGUGCGAAGCCUUCAUGAACUCGUGGACACAGAAUUGAAAAAACAAAAGCCUGAAAUCAGAAGCUGUGAGGACGCCAGGGAGGACUGUGGUUAUGGAUGGAACCUCAUCCCACAUCCAGAGUGGGCUGGAUCACAUCAGUGUCUCCAGCUGACUCAUCACCCUGCUGAUUAAUUCUGAGCUGGUGGAGGAAAGCCAGUCCAAGGAUGAAGCCUACGCACUGGGGAGGGCAGACCUGAGAGAGGCACAGAGAAAUGAAGUCAGAGCCCUGAGCAAACUGUACCUGAAGCUCACACCACCUCUGGACUUCACAGGAGCUGCACUCCUGUCCUACACAUGGCUUAUAGUACCGAUGAUAUAUGUCCUUCUUAUAAAGGUCAAGGAGUUAAUUUAUUCCUUUGGAGUCUUCCAGCACAACAGAUAACACCUAUGAAGUGACCGGGUGAGGUCAUUCUGUACAUUUUCCAAGACUGCUGACUGCAGACCCCUUGACACCAAGACCCCUAGCUCCAGGGCACAAGUGACUUAUAGAGGACACCGGAGCACUCCUCCUUGUUUUGACCUGUUCCUGGAUGCCUGAGAGGACACAUAUGCCAGACCACCAUGCUUGGUAAAAACCCCAGGCUGCAAGUAAUGAUGAGACUCAUGUUCCUUUUCCAUUCCAAGUGUCCAAGACGCUCUGUCUGUAUCUGCUCUCUCUGUAACUUCAAUAAACUCUGCUCUCACUUCCUCCUGGCUUGCAUUUGAUUUCUAUCCUGCACAAAGCCAAGGACUCUCUUGGCUGGUCCUUUGGGACCCCCUCUGGGUCCUCGGAUCCAGCCUGCCUACAUCAGUUAGUGUCCCAGAGUCACUCUG